UACGUAAGGGGCAAGCGUUGUCCGGAAUCACUGGGCGUAAAGCGCACGUAGGCGGCUUAGUAAGUCAGGGGUGCAGGCUCCAGGCCUAACCUGGAAAUUGCCUCUGAAACUGCUUCGCUUGAGGAUCAGAGGGGAAGCUGGAAUUCACGGUGUAGCGGUGAAAUGCGUAGAUAUCGUGGAGAACACCCGUGGCGAAGGCGGGCUUCUGGCUGAUUACUGACGCUGAGGUGCGAAAGCUAGGGGAGCGAACGGG
rnacentral:rRNA from 1 species